UACGAAGGGUGCAAACGUUGCUCGGAAUUAUUGGGUGUAAAGCGCACGUAGGCGGCUUAGCAAGUCGGAAGUGAAAGCCCUCGGCUCAACCAAGGAAGUGCUUUCGAAACUGCUGAGCUUGAAUACUUAAGAGGAUCGCGGAAUUCCCGGUGUAGAGGUGAAAUUCGUAGAUAUCGGGAGGAACACCAGUGGCGAAGGCGGCGAUCUGGGAAGAUAUUGACGCUGAGGAGCGAAAGCGUGGGGAGCGAACAGG
rnacentral:rRNA from 1 species